AACGCGAAGAACCUUACCAGCCCUUGACAUCCCGGUCGCGGACUCCAGAGACGGAGUUCUUCAGUUCGGCUGGACCGGAGACAGGUGCUGCAUGGCUGUCGUCAGCUCGUGUCGUGAGAUGUUGGGUUAAGUCCCGCAACGAGCGCAACCCCCGUCCUUAGUUGCUACCAUUUAGUUGAGCACUCUAAGGAGACUGCCGGUGAUAAGCCGCGAGGAAGGUGGGGAUGACGUCAAGUCCUCAUGGCCCUUACGGGCUGGGCUACACACGUGCUACAAUGGCGGUGACAAUGGGACGCUAAGGGGCAACCCUUCGCAAAUCUCAAAAAGCCGUCUCAGUUCGGAUUGGGCUCUGCAACUCGAGCCCAUGAAGUUGGAAUCGCUAGUAAUCGUGGAUCAGCACGCCACGGUGAAUACGUUCCCGGGCCUUGUA
rnacentral:rRNA from 1 species